UACAGAGGGUGCGAGCGUUAAUCGGAAUUACUGGGCGUAAAGCGCACGUAGGCGGCUUGGUAUGUCGGGUGUGAAAUCCCCGGGCUCAACCUGGGAACUGCAUCCGAAACUGCCUUGCUCGAGUAUGGGAGAGGGAAGUGGAAUUUCCGGUGUAGCGGUGAAAUGCGUAGAUAUCGGAAGGAACAUCAGUGGCGAAGGCGACUUCCUGGACCAAUACUGACGCUCAUGCACGAAGGCGUGGGGAGCAAACAGG
rnacentral:rRNA from 1 species